rnacentral:rRNA from 1 species
CUUGGUGAUUGGAGCGAUGUGGCAACACCUUUUCCCAUUCCGAACAGAGAAGUGAAACGCAUCAGCGCCCACGAUACUAUCUUUUUGAUGGGACAAUGGGUCAUUGCCAGGG